rnacentral:lncRNA from 1 species
AAAAAAGGGGGAUUUUGGGGGGAAAAAAGGGGGAUUUUUUUGGGAUUUUUUGGGGGAAAAAAGUGGAUUUUGGGGAGAGGGGGAAAGGCAGAUUUUGGGGGUGAAAAGGGGAUUUUUUCACCUGGAUGAGGUCCCCGCAGGCUGCAGCCAGGAGCCCCCUCUGGCUGAAGUGCAGCUGAGAGGCCCCAGCUGGGACCCCCCAGUGCUGCAGAACCCCAAAAGUUCUCAGGUCAAAAAUGCGAAUUUUCCUGUCCAGCCCCGAGGUGGCCAGGAGGCUGCAGGGGAGGGGAAAUCGCAGGAAAAGUCACUGGAAAUUCACCCAAAAUCCAGCCCAAAAUCUGCUCAAAAUCCACCCAAAAUCAGCCCAAAAUUCACCCAAAAUCCAGCCCAAAAUCUGCCAAAAAUCCAGCAAAAUUCACCCCAAAUCUGACAAAAAUCCACCCAAAAACCUGCCCCAAAUCCAGCUAAAAACCUGCCCAAAAUCCACUCAAAUCCAGCCCAAAAUUCACCCAAAAUCCAGCCCAAAAUCUGCCCAAAAUCCACCCAAAAACCUACCCAAAAUCCACCCAAAAACCUACCCAAAAUCCACCCAAAAAACCUGCCAAAAAUCCACCCAAAAUCAGCCCAAAAUUCACCCAAAAUCUGCUCAAAAUCCAGCCAAAAUAUGCUCAAAAUCCAGCCAAAAACCUACCCAAAAUCCACCCAAAUUCAGCCCAAAAUUCACCCAAAAUCCAGCAAAAUCCAGCCCAAAAUCUGCUCAAAAUCCACCCAAAAACCUGCCCAAAAUCCAGCCAAAAACUGCUCAAAAUCUAGCCAAAAACCUACCCAAAAUCCAGCAAAAUUCACCCAAAAUCUGCUCAAAAUCCACUCAAAUUCACCCAAAAUCCAGCCCAAAAACCUGCUCAAAAUCCACCCAAAAUCUGCUCAAAAUCCACCCAAAAUCUGCCCAAAAUCCAGCAAAAUUCCCUCAAAACCCAUCCCUGGAAUUCCCCCCCAAAUCUCCGGAAUUGCCCCCAAAUUC